UCUACCCAGCCCCGGUAACUCUCUCUUCUCCUUCCCCCGACCUUUCCUCCUUUUCGGCCCGAUUUUUCUCCCUUCGAUUUCUUCCCCCUCCGGCCGACCCACAACGAAAUCCGGCUAUCCCCAAUCUCGUCUCCUUCCCCUUGUCACAUCUGUGGAGGUAUUUGGUGGAGAUUUCACCGGAGGAGCUCGAUUUUGAGCGGGGAAGGUUACUGUAGCAGUUCGCCAUUAUUGUCGAUUUCGGGCGAUUCCGGCCAUCUCCGGUCACCAAACCGGCGUCGAAGGCUCGGUUUUCGACGGAGAUCAUUUCCCCUAAGGUCUUGCUUUCCAAUUCGCUGUGUAGGGGCCAAAUCGACAACCUAGGGUUCUUGAAUUUCUGGGUUAUCUUUGCCGGCCGAAUUCGACCAUUUCCAGGACGUGAGGAGGAUUCCCUCGAGGAGGGUUCGGAUCGACGGCAGGCUUAGCCGUACACUAUCGCAGCGUUGCUGACCGGCUUAGGAGUGGAGGCUAGCACCACCUUUGCCAUCUAUCCUCAGUAGGUUAUUUAUUAACCUACUUUAUGUAUCAUAUUUCUCGUGUGUUCUAUAGAUUGCUCUGAUUACCUUAAAAGGUUGGAUUUAUACAUUUAUAUAAUUAUGAGUGUAUGGGAGUUGUAUAAUAUUGGAGGGAGUUGAAAGAUUUGGUUUACUGGGUUGUAAUUUAUAUAAGUGGAUAUGUUUGU